rnacentral:rRNA from 1 species
GAUGAACGCUGGCGGCGUGCUUAACACAUGCAAGUCGAACGGUGAAGGCGGAGCUUGCUCUGCUGGAUCAGUGGCGAACGGGUGAGUAACACGUGAGCAAUCUGCCCCUGACUCUGGGAUAAGCGCUGGAAACGGCGUCUAAUACUGGAUACGAGCUGCGAAGGCAUCUUCAGCAGCUGGAAAGAAUUUCGGUCAGGGAUGAGCUCGCGGCCUAUCAGCUUGUUGGUGAGGUAAUGGCUCACCAAGGCGUCGACGGGUAGCCGGCCUGAGAGGGUGACCGGCCACACUGGGACUGAGACACGGCCCAGACUCCUACGGGAGGCAGCAGUGGGGAAUAUUGCACAAUGGGCGAAAGCCUGAUGCAGCAACGCCGCGUGAGGGACGACGGCCUUCGGGUUGUAAACCUCUUUUGGCAGUGAAGAAGCGAAAGUGACGGUACCUGCAGAAAAAGCACCGGCUAACUACGUG